rnacentral:rRNA from 1 species
AUUGAACGCUGGCGGCAGGCCUAACACAUGCAAGUCGAACGAGUGGCGGACGGGUGAGUAAUGUCUGGGAAACCGCCCGAUGGAGGGGGAUCACUACUGGAAAAGGUAGCUAAUACCGCCUUUCAUCAGAUGUGCCCAGAUGGGAUUGGCUUGUUGGUGGGGUAACGGCGCACCAAGGCGACGAUCCCUAGCUGGUCGGAGAGGAUAACAGGCCACCUUGGAACUGAGACACGGUCCAGACUCCUACGGGAGGCAGCAGGGGGGAAUAUUGCGCAAUGGGCGCAAGCCUGAUGCAGCCAUGCCGCGUGUAUGAAGAAGGCCUGCGGGUUGUAAAGUACUUUCGGCGGUGAGGCGGUACCCGCAGAAGAAGCACCGGCUAACUCCGUGCCAGCCGCCGCGGUAAUUC